AAAAUCAGAGUUAAUCUGAACCAAAGAGAAGUUUGGGGCCAAUGUCUAAAAGGAGCAAAGCCGAGGGCCCGAAUGUGCAAAUAAUGGAAAGUUUGGUCUUCUGCCAUCGAAGAUUACAAAGCCAUCGAUCUGAGAAUCUCAAUCUGCUCGAUCCGAUGCUCUCGGCCGUGAGGCGUUUCUGCUUGUGCUCGUGGGAGACAUAGCGAUCGAUGGACGCAAACCAGACUGCUCAAUCCAUCCGCCUCGGCCCACGCUUGUUCCCUAACUGCCUGAAACGACCGAUUGGUCAGAACUGAGUCUGCUCGAUUGUAUGCCCUCGGGCUGCGACGGCUUGAACGGAGAAGACGAGCUCAUGUGGCGGCGCAGAUGAACGGAGUGGUGGUUCCAGCGAGAAAGAGAGAGUCCGAGCUUGGAGAUGGAGCACAACCAUGGCCGCAUAAGAAGACCCGAGCAGUUGCAGCGAUGGAGGAGUUGCGAAGAAGAAGAAACGCAGUCGGGAAACGCGAUUUCCAUAACGCAAACGCCAAACGCAAUUUUUUCCUGAUCGCAGCAUUUUGUUGAACUGCGAUUGACCUUUAUUUUAAUGACCUAUAAUUACUUGUUAGGAGAAAAACCCUCGGGGAUAUCUUAUCUUAGUUUUCAGAUCUAUUUUUCUCUCUUAAGAACUUUUGUACAAGCUUGAAUCUUUAUUAUCUUUAAGCAAUUUAAUCUUGUAUUAUUUUGAUUAUCUCUUCUUCUAAUCAUGAUUAGUCUAAAACUAAA
rnacentral:lncRNA from 1 species